ensembl:misc_RNA Metazoa_SRP Metazoan signal recognition particle RNA
GCCAGGCAUGGUGGCUCAUGCCUGUAAUCCCAGCACUUUGGGAGGCCGAGGUGGGCGGAUCACCUGAGGUCAGGAGUUCGAGACUAGCCUGGCCAACAUGGUGAAACCCCAUCUCUA